UUCUCUAAAGCCUCUGAUUGACAUGAAAGACCCCCGGAGCAGGGAGACCCUCACUCAAGUCUCGGGAUGACACGACCCUCCAAGAACUCACGAGAGACC
rnacentral:pre_miRNA from 14 species